rnacentral:lncRNA from 1 species
UUUGAUUGACAAUGAAUAUGGUUUUUAGAAAGGGUUGAAUAUUGUCUUAGUUUAUACUUGAUUCUUGUGUUAGUUCCUCUUGAUUGAGAUUCUUUAAACCAUGAGCACUAACAUCAAUUCUUUCGUAAUUUUGACUUGAAAUUUGAUAUUGACGCAGCCUGAGUUGAGAAUUUUAGAUAGAGUAAAUGACUGUUUGUCUUGAUUCUUAUCUCCACAAUACAAAAUAGUAUACACGGGCACCAAAGUCAGAAAUAGCUACCUAUAACCCUUAAGAGUGAAGCUAUCCUUGAGUAAUUUGGGCCUAUGUACCACAAGUAUGUAGAGGAUAAUCUACCAUGAGAAGAAGGCUACCUUAAGGGGUAGAGUGAAAG